GCUGAAGAUGCCAUCGCUUGGCUAGACGACUAUGCACACACUAAAUAAAAUAAUAAAGAAUCACGGGGCAUGUUGGUCUUAGGAACAGCGGGCCUGGUAUUAGCAGGCUAGCACCUGUGGCUGCAGAGAGCCAGGCAUCUUCCCAUUCAGUUAAUUGGAAUGAUAUCAAUUGAGUUAUGGGGAGUGAGGGUGGGAAGAGCCAGGCUAGAAAUAAGCAGAAGACUCUUAUGAAAUAUUUGUCUCCUCAUCCAGAGUUUACAUAGCAGUUGGUUUGUCAUUCACAGCAGGAUGUUGAAUGGUCCCAUAGAUGUAAUUGGAUCCACACGGGUGGACCCAGCACCACUGACUUCAAGAGGACUUCAUGUGAGCUGAGCACAAAGGUUAAACGGCACAGAUCCAGUUGCAGUAUCAGGACCAAAAUUUCUAUAUCUCACACAGGAAGUGUCUUCAGUCAGAGGAUCUGCAGAAGAGUGGAUCGGCUUCUGCAAAAACCCACCUGUUUCUGGAACACGGACUUUCAGAAACGGGUGUAAAAUGAAUGCAGAGAUGAUUGUGAAAAAGGAAAGGUUUAAGGGAAUAUUUUGAAAGAGUUGGGAAUAGGAAAUAGAAAUCAUUGCCCCCAGUAUCUGAAAAAUUCUGCAACUAUACUUAGAUAGAAAGGUGUCUUUUUGUUCUGUGUUUGGAUAGUAACUAGCACAAGGGGGCCCUGGUCCGUAACUGGGGUUCCUGGGCACUGCGAUAAUACAAAUAAUAACAAUAAUAGUAAUAAAAUGCCACCAUUCUGAAAAGUAAGGGAAUGUCAGAAGUAAAAAGAAAAAUACAACCUAGCAGAGACCAUCAUCAUUUGAUCUAAAUUAUCAAAACUGAAUUCUUUUGAAACAUGAAGGUAAGAAUGAAACAAAAUAUAGCUUGUGCUCACUGAGUGGGUCAUACCUAAUUUUGCCCAUACAUGGGAAUAAAGCUGCAGGUCAUACGGUCAGCCUGAAAAUUUGUAUUAACAUAGCAGUGAUUUGUAGGUGUACUGAGUAAAUUCCUUGUAUAUAAUUUAUUUGCAUAAUAGUAAUGAGGAAAUGUUUUCUUUGGCUAAAUUGUUUAUCAUGUGAUAUGGGUGAAUUUAAGUGGAUUCCUGUCUAGCAACAUAUCAGCAGCCAACACCAGUCUGUUUUAUUCCUGAAGCAACAACCAACAGUCAGAGACAGCGGAUACAUCCCAUCUCACACACUCAAGCCCAGAUGUGGAAGGAAUCUACAUUCCCCCGGCCACCCAUCCCGCCACCAGAGGGAGACACUUAGAACUAGAGCUGGGUGCCAUUUUUCAUUGCCAAAAUGAAACGUUUUGAUUUCUUGUUUCUGAACGGCCUCCUUUGGAAAGUCGCUUCCAUUUUAUUUGUAAGCGAUUUAAAAAUGUUCACAACAGCAAGUGUUUGGGGACAGAACGAAACAUUUUGCUCCCUCACAAUAAAAUCGUUUUUCUUUU